CUUCUGGAGGUUAACCAACCAAGUCUACAGGAACACACACCACCUAGCUCUGUCCAUGUAAUAUACUACAGAGGGUGGAAAUGCACAAUGCUUAAAUCUUCACUUGUCCAAUGGAUGUUUAACUCAUUCACUAUUUCCAUCCUCACACAAUGAAGACAGUAUGAGAGGCUUUUGAAGACCAAACUGUCAGCUUUACAUCACUUAUUAUGAACAAGCUUCUUUGGGAGAUGAUUAUUUUUGUUGAAGAACAAUUGUUCAGCUCUGACCACCAGGAAUGAGGGGAAGAUUUUCUUCAUCUAUGAAAAGACACAGGAGGAAAUGCCUGUCUGGCCCAGGGGAUGGCUGAAGCUGCUGCUGCUUUGUGGUUCUGUGAGGAGACAUCAUCGACAUAGCAAGAAUAACAGAGCAGAAAGAUGGUGAGGACCUGGGUGUUGACUGGGCCACUGACUUGACCAGUGCUGCGGGUAUACUACCUGUGCACCUCUUAU
rnacentral:lncRNA from 1 species